UGGGGAAUUUUGGACAAUGGGCGAAAGCCUGAUCCAGCAAUGCCGCGUGUGUGAAGAAGGCCUUCGGGUUGUAAAGCACUUUUGUCCGGAAAGAAAUCCUUGGCUCUAAUACAGUCGGGGGAUGACGGUACCGGAAGAAUAAGCACCGGCUAACUACGUGCCAGCAGCCGCGGUAAUACGUAGGGUGCAAGCGUUAAUCGGAAUUACUGGGCGUAAAGCGUGUGCAGGCGGUUUGCUAAGACCGAUGUGAAAUCCCCGGGCUCAACCUGGGAACUGCAUUGGUGACUGGCAGGCUAGAGUAUGGCAGAGGGGGGUAGAAUUCCACGUGUAGCAGUGAAAUGCGUAGAGAUGUGGAGGAAUACCGAUGGCGAAGGCAGCCCCCUGGGCCAAUACUGACGCUCAUGCACGAAAGCGUGGGGAGCAAACAGGAUUAGAUACCCUGGUAGUCCACGCCCUAAACGAUGUCAACUAGUUGUUGGGGGAUUCAUUUCCUUAGUAACGUAGCUAACGCGUGAAGUUGACCGCCUGGGGAGUACGGUCGCAAGAUUAAAACUU
rnacentral:rRNA from 1 species